GAUGAAGAAGGUAGCGAAAUGCGAUAAGUAAUGCGAAUUGCAGAAUUCAGUGAGUCAUCGAAUCUUUGAACGCACAUUGCGCCCUGUGGUAUUCCGCAGGGCAUGCCUGUUCGAGCGUCAUUUCAACCCUCAAGCCUCGCUUGGUGUUGGGCCCUGCCCGCCGCGGCCGGCCCUAAAGAUAGUGGCGGCGCCGCCUGGCCCUCAGCGUAGUACAGCUCUCGCUCCAGGGUCCGGCGGCAGCCUGCCAGAACCCCCCAACUCUGUGGUUGACCUCGGAUCAGGUAGGGAUACCCGCUGAACUUAAGCAUAUCAAUAAGCGGAGGA
rnacentral:misc_RNA from 1 species